GUCCAGAUCUUUCACCUAUAGAGAACAUACAGUAAUUACCUGUGACACCCAUGGUGCACUGUGAGCAGGUAUACAGGCCAACAGAGCAUGCAGAUAAUUAUCUGUGACACCCAUGGUGCACUGUGAGCAGGUAUACAGGCCAACAGAGCAUGCAGAUAAUUAUCUGUGACACUCAUUGUACACUGUGAGCAGGUAUACAGGCCCACAGAGCAUGCAGAUAAUUAUCUGUGACACCCAUGGUGCACUGUGAGCAGGUAUACAGGCCAACAGAGCAUGCAGAUAAUUAUCUGUGACACCCAUGGUGCACUGUGAGCAGGUAUACAGGCCAACAGAGCAUGCAGAUAAUUAUCUGCGACACCCAUUGUACACUGUGAGCAGGUAUACAGGCCCACAGAGCAUGCAGAUAAUUAUCUGUGACACCCAUGGUGCACUGUGAGCAGGUAUACAGGCCCACAGAGCAUGCAGAUAAUUACCUGUGACACCCAUUGUACACUGUGAGCAGGUAUACAGGCCCACAGAGCAUGCAGAUAAUUACCUGUGACACCCAUUGUACACUGUGAGCAGGUAUACAGGCCAACAGAGCAUGCAGAUAAUUAUCUGCGACACCCAUUGUACACUGUGAGCAGGUAUACAGGCCAACAGAGAAUGCAGAUAAUUAUCUGUGACACCCAUGGUGCACUGUGUGCAGGUAUACAGGCCAACAGAGCAUGCAGAUAAUUACCUGUGACACCCAUUGUACACUGUGAGCAGGUAUACAGGCCAACAGAGCAUGCAGAUAAUUAUCUGUGACACCCAUUGUACACUGUGAGCAGGUAUACAGGCCAACAGAGCAUGCAGAUAAUUAUCUGUGACACCCAUGGUGCACUGUGAGCAGGUAUACAGGCCAACAGAGCAUGCAGAUAAUUAUCUGUGACACCCAUGGUGCACUGUGAGCAGGUAUACAGGCCAACAGAGCAUGCAGAUAAUUACCUGUGACACCCAUUGUACACUGUGAGCAGGUAUACAGGCCAACAGAGCAUGCAGAUAAUUAUCUGUGACACCCAUUGUCCACUGUGAGCAGGUAUACAGGCCAACAGAGCAUGCAGAUAAUUAUCUGUGACACCCAUUGUACACUGUGAGCAGGUAUACAGGCCAACAGAGCAUGCAGAUAAUUACCUGUGACACCCAUUGUACACUGUGAGCAGGUAUACAGGCCCACAGAGCAUGCAGAUAAUUAUCUGUGACACCCAUUGUACACUGUGAGCAGGUAUACAGGCCCACAGAGCAUGCAGAUAAUUAUCUGUGACACCCAUUGUACACUGUGAGCAGGUAUACAGGCCAACAGAGCAUGCAGAUAAUUAUCUGUGACACCCAUUGUACACUGUGAGCAGGUAUACAGGCCAACAGAGCAUGCAGAUAAUUACCUGUGACACCCAUUGUACACUGUGAGCAGGUAUACAGGCCAACAGAGCAUGCAGAUAAUUAUCUGUGACACCCAUUGUACACUGUGAGCAGGUAUACAGGCCCACAGAGCAUGCAGAUAAUUAUCUGUGACACCCAUUGUACACUGUGAGCAGGUAUACAGGCCAACAGAGCAUGCAGAUAAUUAUCUGUGACACCCAUUGUACACUGUGAGCAGGUAUACAGGCCAACAGAGCAUGCAGAUAAUUAUCUGUGACACCCAUUGUACACUGUGAGCAGGUAUACAGGCCCACAGAGCAUGCAGAUAAUUAUCUGUGACACCCAUGGUGCACUGUGAGCAGGUAUACAGGCCAACAGAGCAUGCAGAUAAUUAUCUGUGACACCCAUGGUGCACUGUGAGCAGGUAUACAGGCCCACAGAGCAUGCAGAUAAUUAUCUGUGACACCCCUUGUACACUGUGAGCAGGUAUACAGGCCAACAGAGCAUGCAGAUAAUUAUCUGUGACACCCAUUGUACACUGUGAGCAGGUAUACAGGCCAACAGAGCAUGCAGAUAAUUAUCUGUGACACCCAUUGUACACUGUGAGCAGGUAUACAGGCCCACAGAGCAUGCAGAUAAUUAUCUGUGACACCCAUUGUACACUGUGAGCAGGUAUCAGUACUGACUACUUUUUAUAUUGAGUCACAUGUUUUAUGUGAAUUACUUUGUACUGAACUGAAGGCCAGUAUUUGUCACUGCGAAUAUGUUGUUGCAGACGUCCAUCCAGAAAUCAGAGCUGGGGGAAAAGAUAAGGUCCUUAUUCCAAUAAAUUUUUGGUACAAAUAUCAAUGUGUCUGUCGCAGAUGGAGGAUUAUAUAUUCUAGAGGUUUCUUUUUAUUUUUAAGUUGCAGAAUGUUGUCUCAUCUGAGGAGGAUUCAGUGUAUUAUGUGUGAGGUCCAUUUUGGUUUUGAUGCUGGAUUCAGUUAGUAAAUAUUAGAAAAAUUGCAUAUUCUCAACUCGUAUUUAUGGAUUAAGUCUUCGAAUGUCAUGAAAUGACUGUUACUGAAAAGGAGGUGGAGAUGUGUAAUCCCUUUCUGUCCCCGUGAGUGAUAGUGAAUAGUGAUAUUGUGAAGUAGGAAGUCCAGAUUAUUCCAGAUUGGCGUGUAUUUACAGGGUCUGAGAGUACAGUUAGUGAUUUUAAUGGCUUUCCACUGGGCUGUCAGUGCUGUGGAAAUGGCAGCACUGUGUUGUUAAAGCAGUUUUGUUUCUUUAAUGACAUUUUGAGUAAGUCUGCAUGUCUGAGAUUUUUACAGUACAGCUGCUCCUGCUGUAACCAUGAGCUGCUGUUACUGCUGUAGUGUGACCAUUUAGUUAAGUCUUGCAGUUGAUUUGCUAAGUAAUAAUUAAGAAAAAUGAGCUUGU